UCCAAUGGCCGAACGCUCUUCAGUGGCUGAAUCCUUUCUCAGCGCAGCCCUCUAAUGGCCGACGACGAACCAGCCAGCUCCCUUCCUCUCUCCCUCCCUCUCUCUCUCUCUCUCUCUCUGUGAAAUCUCCCUUUCGUUGCAGCCAAGCUCCUCUCCUGUCAUGACCGAACUCUCUCUCCCAGCUCUCCUUCCGUGAGCGAGCGUUCCCCACCCUCUCACGCCUCACGCACUCUCCUCGCUCCCUCGCUCUUCG
rnacentral:lncRNA from 1 species